UAAGAAAUUUAAAAAGUUAAUGAAACAAGAACUAAAGAAUAAGAACAAAAAGAACGCAACUACUUGCUUUGAAUGCAAGAAGAAGAACACAAAGUGGGAUAAAUCGAGCUCCUCCAAAGACGAGGAGAAAAUCAACAAAGGCGAGGUGGCAAACUACGCCUUAACGGCUUUCGACAUUAAGAUAAUCAAAACGCAUUUAGUUUCAUGACUUAUUUUUAAUUUAG
rnacentral:lncRNA from 1 species